ACUCCUACGGGAGGCAGCAGUGGGGAAUAUUGGACAAUGGGCGCAAGCCUGAUCCAGCCAUGCCGCGUGAGUGAUGAAGGCCCUAGGGUUGUAAAGCUCUUUCACCGGUGAAGAUAAUGACGGUAACCGGAGAAGAAGCCCCGGCUAACUUCGUGCCAGCAGCCGCGGUAAUACGAAGGGGGCUAGCGUUGUUCGGAUUUACUGGGCGUAAAGCGCACGUAGGCGGACUAUUAAGUCAGGGGUGAAAUCCCGGGGCUCAACCCCGGAACUGCCUUUGAUACUGGUAGUCUUGAGUUCGAGAGAGGUGAGUGGAAUUCCGAGUGUAGAGGUGAAAUUCGUAGAUAUUCGGAGGAACACCAGUGGCGAAGGCGGCUCACUGGCUCGAUACUGACGCUGAGGUGCGAAAGCGUGGGGAGCAAACAGGAUUAGAUACCCUUGUAGUCCCAUGAU
rnacentral:rRNA from 1 species